CCUACGGGUGGCAGCAGUGGGGAAUAUUGGGCAAUGGAGGAAACUCUGACCCAGCAACGCCGCGUGAAGGAUGAAGGUUUUCGGAUUGUAAACUUCUGUCGCGAGGGAUGAAGAUUGACGGUACCUCGUAAGAAAGCCCCGGCAACCUACGUGCCAGCAGCCGCGGUAAUACGUAGGGGGCGAGCGUUGUCCGGAAGGACUGGGGGUAAAGGUAGUGUGGACGGCAGAUUAAGUUAUGUGUGAAGGCCCGCGGGUCAACCGCGGAAUUGCACAUAAAACUGGUAAGCUGGAGUGCAGGAGAGGUAAGUGGAAUUCCCGGUGUAGCGGUGGAAUGCGUAGAUAUUGGGAGGAACACCAGAGGCGAAGGCGACUUACUGGACUGUAACUGACGCUGAGGCUCGAAAGCGUGGGGAGCAAACAGGAUUAGAUACCCGUGUAGUC
rnacentral:rRNA from 1 species